rnacentral:rRNA from 1 species
GACGGAGGAUGCAAGCGUUAUCCGGAAUGAUUGGGCGUAAAGCGUCCGCAGGUGGCAGUUCAAGUCUGCUGUUAAAGACCGGGGCUUAACUUCGGAAAGGCAGUGGAAACUGAACAGCUAGAGUAUGGUAGGGGCAGAGGGAAUUCCUGGUGUAGCGGUGAAAUGCGUAGAGAUCAGGAAGAACAUCGGUGGCGAAGGCGCUCUGCUGGACCAUAACUGACACUCAGGGACGAAAGCUAGGGGAGCGAAUGGG